rnacentral:rRNA from 1 species
GAUGAACGCUGGCGGCGUGCCUAAUACAUGCAAGUCGAGCGAACAGACGAGGAGCUUGCUCCUUUGACGUUAGCGGCGGACGGGUGAGUAACACGUGGGUAACCUACCUAUAAGACUGGGAUAACUUCGGGAAACCGGAGCUAAUACCGGAUAAUAUUUCGAACCGCAUGGUUCGAUAGUGAAAGAUGGCUUUGCUAUCACUUAUAGAUGGACCUGCGCCGUAUUAGCUAGUUGGUAAGGUAACGGCUUACCAAGGCAACGAUACGUAGCCGACCUGAGAGGGUGAUCGGCCACGCUGGAACUGAGACGCGGUCCAGACUCCUACGAGAGGCAGCAGUAGGGAAUCUUCCGCAAUGGGAGAAAGCGUGACGGAGCAACGCCGCGUGAGUGAUGAAGGUCUUCGGAUCGUAAAACUCUGUUAUUAGGGAAGAACAAACGUGUAAGUAACUGUGCACGUCUUGACGGUACCUAAUCAGAAAGCCACGGCUAACUACGUG